AACGUAGGAGACAAACGUUAUCCGGAGUUACUGGGCGUAAAGGGCGUGCAGGCGGUUGAUUAAGUCUAGCGUGAAAGCUCCCGGCUAAACCGGGAGAGGUCGUUGGAUACUGGUUGACUAGAGGACGGUAGAGGCGAGUGGAAUUCCGGGUGUAGUGGUGAAAUGCGUAGAUAUGCGGAGGAACACCGAUGGCGAAGGCAAUCCCCUGGGCCUGCACUGACGCUCAUGCACGAAAGCGUGGGGAGCAAACAGG
rnacentral:rRNA from 1 species